rnacentral:lncRNA from 1 species
CGGUUUUCUAUAAAAUGAGGAUAAUUAGAGCCACCUUGGAGGGGCCUCGUUGGUUCUCAUGCAGUCCUGGAGUUGGAGACUAAAGACAGCUCCAUAUUACUGAAGAUACAGCAGAGACACACAGCAGGUGAGAAGCGUGUCCUGGGUGGGUUUCCUGAGGAUCUGCCAUCAUGAGUGGAAAGCCCUGGCAGGGUACGGGACCCUAACAGGAGAGAGCCAUUGUCAUGGCCCCUACACAGCUGACCUAGAGCUGGACAGGAGCUGGAUGGGGCCUGCUGGAAUAGGCUGAGCAGCAAAACAGAACAGAACAAGCAACCCAUACUUGGGAGAGCCUUCGUGACUCCACAAACCCCUCUUUUUCCCACAGCCUCUGUCUGCCUAGAGGUGCUGGGCCACGCACAACUCUGACCAUGUCCAGCCCUGUGAACAAAGGACCCAUGGCCAUCUGAUUCCUGGCCAGCCCAGCCUGGCACACAGGGUGGGGCUUCUCUGAUGCCCCAUGUGCCGCUCCAUUCUGCUGGAAGCUUACUGUGCUGACACACACUCAUCUGUGAAGUGCUGGAGUUUUGGAGAAGUCCCUCUGACUGAGCUGUGAUCAUUUAGCAUUUGGGAAAAAUGACCAAAGCAAUCAUGGGUGGGUGUGUUUCAUCUGCCCAAGACAGAAACCCCAUUCUAAACCUGGCCGGGUUGAAGCAGGGUUUUCACCUGCUUACAGACUCCGCCCCAGCCUCCAAGAUGGGUGGGGACAUCAUUGCAUCUCUGCCCGUUGCCCAAAGGUGACUGGGCCAGGAAUGGACAGGGAACACUGCUGGACCUAUCAGAGGCUUCCCCAGGAUUUUUAACCUGGGACCAGAGCUGCCAGGGCCAAGCCCUGAGGAGGGAGACUGUCCAAGAAAAGUCAGCCAUUCGGGAGGAGAGAGGAGAGUCCUAGUGGGGUUGGAGAGCCUAGUUGUUGUUGUCCUGGAAAAAAGAAAGAAUCCUGAUAAAAGCAGUUUUAGUGAAGUAAAAAUGACAAUAGGAGAGAGGGACUUUGUUCCAACGCUGCUUCAUGAAAAAAUGAUCAUGAAAUGAAAUGACCAUGACGGAAUUAGCUCUAGAAGAUAUUUUCUUCUCCAAAAUAGCCAAUAUUGAAACAAUUUGGGCUAAUGCUUUUAUAUUCAUAAACAUAGAGUCAAAAGCCCUCAGGGUUGAGAUGGUGGAUUCAAGAUGUCCUAAGUUCAGUAACUGAACACUGUCUCCCUGCUGGACCUCCCUCACUCCUUCCCACCCUACUGUGCCUCUGGAACCUUUAGCCUGUAGGAUUUCUUACAAACUCUUAAUAUGCAAAUAGCACUUAUUCUUAACUUAAAAAUCCCUUAAGUAAGACUACUUGGCAACCCAUAGUCAGCUUCCUUCAAGUCACUUUAUGUUCUUGAAAGUAAUCAAAAGUAAUCCAUUGCAACUGCUUUAAAAUAUUUUAGAAUUCCAAUUUCCCCCGUCUCUUCCUUCCCUCGGGUUGGCCAGCUUCCCAGGAUUCUGUCCUAUAAAAUUAAGUUAAUGAUAUCUUCAGGAUCAGCAUGUCUUUGUCUCUAAAUGUGGGAGUGUGUCUCCUCCAGGACUUGCCUUGGCCAGGCCUUCCCCUCCCACUCUGAGCCCCCUUCCCUCCCCGGGCAUGCAGCGCAAAGCCAAGGAGCUGGCUCAAGAGUAAAGAGUGGGCACCUCAUCCUUGCUCUCUGGGGCUUGCUGCAUGGACCUCUCUGCGCAUUCUGGGUCAGGGGUGGCAUGCAUCCAGCAUGCCUUCGUUGUCUGAGGCAGCUCCAGGCAAGGAGAGAUGUAGGAUAACUCAGCCAAGAGGUGGCCUUUCUUCUAGGCAGCAUCAAUCAGCCCCAUUGCCCUCUUGGCAGGUGCUCCAUAAAUGGUGCUUCCGCAGUUCCCUCCCUCUUCCCAGGUGUGGAAUGGCCCCAGGAAGUCAGGCCAGGGAACCACAGGCACAGCCUCCAGGUGACAGCUACAGGCUGGAGGGCCUGCUUUCUGUCUCUGGCCUCUUUUCAACAGCUUAUGAGAUUUUCAAAUGUCUCCAACUGACCCUCCCCACAAAUGACAUUUAUGAAGGACACACAGGGCUGGGUGCGGUGGCUCACGCCUGUAUUCCCAGCACUUUAGGAGGCUGAGGUGUGCGUAUCACGUGAGGUCUGGAGUUAGAGACCAGCCUGGACAGCAUAGCGAAACCCUGUCUCUACUAAAAAUACAAAAAUUAGCCAGGCAUGGUGGUGCAUGCCUGUGGUCCUAGCUACUUGGGAGGCUGAGGCAGGAGAAUCGCUUGAACUGUGGAGGCGGAUGUUGCAGUGAGCCGAGAUCACGCCACUGCACUCCAGCCUGGGCAAAACAGUGAGACUCUGUCUCAAAAAGAAAAAAAAGACACACAAUAGGCUGAUGACUUGCCUUAUUGUCCUGGACUCAGACAGGCACAGAGACGGAGAGGAAGGGAGGGAGGGAGGAAGAUCUGAGACUUGGAGAUGGGCCCCAGUCCAGUAGGCUGCUUGAGUGAGACCUGGGAACCAGGAAGCAUCCCUGGGCCGUGCUUAGCCAGAGAGCCAGACAGCUGGGCUGCAGAGCUGGCAGGGUUGGCAGGGUGAGUACAGUGGAAACCUUCCUAGACCUUGUCAGCCACAGGACAGUGUGUGCUCGCUCCCUCCCAACCUGCCCCAUUAGACAUCUGUGUGGUGGGGCCGCCUCAUUCCUGAUCAUGAGAGAAUGCUGUUAAAUUUGCAGAAAUCUUGUGAUCUGCUUGUUAAAUGCAGCUUUUAUUAAAAAAAAAAGAAUAGUAAGCUUACAAUGAGAUAAGGUAUAUUAAAAACAAUUGUAUUAAGAGCAAAGGUAUAACUCAAAACUCAUCAAACCCAUCGCUUUCUACUUAUUUUACUCAAUUUUACUAUUGAGUUUAUGUUUAUUUACAAUCUAUCUGGUGUUUAUAUGGUGGAAACACCAUAUAAUAUGUACCAUAUAAUACUGCAUACCUCUCCCCAACCUCCAAUGAUGUCAGGUUGGUGAGAUUGUUUAUACCACAGAAACUCGCAAAUACGAUAAACCAGGGGCUUCAACCCCCAACCCGCCCCCAACUCCCACACUGCUGACUCCCUGGUCCCCGAGUGCUUAAAUUUGCUAAUGUAUGUUACAUAAACAAGAUAAAGCACAGGCAAUACUUAGGGCAAUCAUGCUCCCCAAACUUUCCAGGACAGUUUCAAUUUAAAUAUUCUGCCUGCGGUCAAACUGCGGGACCCAAUCAGGUUUCAGAGCCAAUGUCAGCCGCAGGGAGGCCACCUGGAAGUGAGUGCCUGACACACAGACUUUCACCCGUCUCUUCGCCCCAGCCUCACAGCACCAGACCCUCAUUUCAUUAAUCUCCCAAAUUUAGGUCACAGAUAUCUCAAAUUACCUCCUUAUUUACAGACAUCAAGAUCUAAUGCUAAAACCUGGAGAGGGACAGAACCAGUCUGUUCCAGGGCCAGACUUGAAAAUAAAUAAUAAUAAAAUCCCCAAGCCUUAAGAUGUCCAUUGCCUGAAAUACGCAGUUUACAGCUUGAAAUUCAACUGACUCACAAACCACACAGCUGGUGACCCUCCCCACCUUCCCUCUCAAGCUAAUUGAAUUAAAAAAAAAAAAGUACUUAAAGAGGCCUGGUCUGUCCAAGAAGUAAACUCCAUGUACUUCCUCUCCCCUGGGCUGGAGGCACACUUGGCCACACAAGGCAUAUAAAAGCCCCUUUUGGAGAAUUGCUUGCUUCCCACAUGGCUUCUGCAGUCAGUGUAAUUUAAGAAACACACAACUCACGCACCCAGCUUUGGAAGUCACAGUGGGUAUACACCUGAGAGGGAAGCCGGGGGAUGGAGGGGUGUUUUUUGUCUGUGUUUAAGCCCCUGUGCUGGCUUCUUGAGAUUCCCAAUACUUUCCACACACACAAAAGGUUGAUCUAUGCACUCAGGGCAAAAGGCAAGUCAUGCAUUCCAAAGGAAAGCGCACAACAUAAAAUGCUAUCGGGAACGGACGGGAGGGUUUGGAAGGAGUCACGUCAGAAUGGUAACCGUGUUCAUCUGACACUGGUAGGGUUUUCUUCUGUAUAGUUCCCUGAAUUUUCCAGAUGGUGUAUGGUGAAGAGAUCUGGCA